AUUGAACGCUGGCGGCAGGCCUAACACAUGCAAGUCGAACGAGUGGCGGACGGGUGAGUAAUGUCUGGGAAACCGCCUGAUGGAGGGGGAUAACUACUGGAAACGGUAUCUAAUACCGCAUACCAUCUGAUUGGCCCAGAUGGGAAUAGCUAGUAGGUGGGGUAAAGGCUCACCUGGGCAACGAUCCCUAGCUGGUCUGAGAGGAUGACCGGCAACACUGGAACGGAGACACGGUCCAGACUCCUACGGAAGGAGGCAGUGGGGAAUAUUGCACAAUGGGCGCAAGCCUGAUGCAGCAAUGCCGCGUGUAUGAAGAAGGCCUUCGGGUUGUAAAGUACUUUCAGCGGGGAGGCGUUACCCGCAGAGGAAGCACCGGCUAACUCCGUGCCAGCAGCCGCGGUAAUAC
rnacentral:rRNA from 1 species